CUGGAGGAAACUCAAUCAGAGAAACCCUGCUGGUUCUUGGGACAGUGAAGAACUUGAAGUCCAAGCUGGUACUUCCAAAGAAAGAUCACAAAGUGAAAUGGAAGUGUCUCCUAAACCUUCUAACAGUGCAACUUCACCAAGGGACCAGCAAAUGGUGAAGGUGGCGUCUAAAAAAUGCAGAAUUG